rnacentral:rRNA from 1 species
UCGAACGAGAAUCGAGAUUAUAGCAAUAUAGACUCGAGGAAAGUGGCGGAAGGGUGAGUAAUGCAUGGGUAACCUGCCUUCGAAGUUGGGGAUAGCUCCGCGAAAGUGGAAUUAAUACCGAAUGUGGUCUUCCUGCGCAUGCAGGAAUAUCCAAAGACGGGGAUCCGCGAGGACCUGUCGCUUGAAGAUGGACCCAUGUCCUAUCAGCUAGUUGGUGAGGUAACGGCUUACCAAGGCUUACGGGUAGCUGGUCUGAGAGGAUGGUCAGCCACACUGGGACUGAGACACUGCCCAGACUCCUACGGGAGGCUGCAGUCGAGGAUCUUUCACAAUGCGCGAAAGCGUGAUGGAGCGACGCCGCGUGCAGGAUGAAGGCCUUCGGGUCGUAAACUGCUGUCAGGAGGGAGCAACGAGCGGGAUAUUAAUACUAUCUCGCAGUGAUAGUACCUCCAGAGGAAGCCACGGCUAACUCUGUG